rnacentral:SRP_RNA from 1 species
GCCGGGUGUGGUGGCGUGCGCCUGUAGUCCCAGCUACUCGGGAGGCUGAGGCAGGAGAAUUGCUUGAACCCAGGAGGCGGAGGUUGCAGUGAGUCGAGAUCUCACCACUGCACUCCAGCCUGGGUGACAGAGUGAGACUCUGUCUCAA